rnacentral:rRNA from 1 species
CCCUUAGAUGUCCUGGGCUGCACGCGCGCUACACUGAUGUGUCCAGUAAGCACCUAACCUAUUCCGAGAGGAGCGGGUAACCUUAGCAAAGCACAUCGUGAUGGGGAUAGAUUAUUGCAAUUAUUAGUCUUGAACGAGGAAUUCCUAGUAAGCACAAGUCAUCAGCUUGUGUUGAUUACGUCCCUGCCCUUUGUACACAUCGCCCGUCGCUCCUACCGAUUGAAUGUUCCGGUGAGCUCUUCGGACUGCGCGGUCUGCAGUUUCUGCGUUCCGUGCGGAAAGUUGUGCAAACCUUAACAUUUAGAGGAAGGAGAAGUCGUAACA